GAUGAACGCUGGCGGCGUGCCUAAUACAUGCAAGUCGAGCGAACAGACGAGGAGCUUGCUCCUCUGACGUUAGCGGCGGACGGGUGAGUAACACGUGGAUAACCUACCUAUAAGACUGGGAUAACUUCGGGAAACCGGAGCUAAUACCGGAUAAUAUAUUGAACCGCAUGGUUCAAUAGUGAAAGACGGUUUUGCUGUCACUUAUAGAUGGUUCCGCGCCGCAUUAGCUAGUUGGUAAGGUAACGGCUUACCAAGGCAACGAUGCGUAGCCGACCUGAGAGGGUGAUCGGCCACACUGGAACUGAGACACGGUCCAGACUCCUACGGGAGGCAGCAGUAGGGAAUCUUCCGCAAUGGGCGAAAGCCUGACGGAGCAACGCCGCGUGAGUGAUGAAGGUCUUCGGAUCGUAAAACUCUGUUAUUAGGGAAGAACAAAUGUGUAAGUAACUAUGCACGUCUUGACAGUACCUAAUCAGAAAGCCACGGCUAACUACGUG
rnacentral:rRNA from 1 species